rnacentral:lncRNA from 1 species
UACGACGGAGCCUAAGAUAUUCUUUGUCUUGUCGGUGAGUGAGUUACAGUCGGAUGACCAAGUGAAAUAUAGGGGUGCAACGAGGAUUUGGAGGCUUCUGAGACUUGAACUUAGGGUACUGGUGUAAACUUCCUCGGAGAAGUGCGCAGCAGCUAAUGAUAUUUCGGGAUUGGAGUCUGGGCCCCAGUGAGAUUCGUACUAAGCGGCCUGACUGAAGGCCGCAUGCGUUCUAGUUCCUGAGUCCCCGCGUGGGUAGGUUUUUACAGCAGGGUUUGCAGCCUUUUGUGCUGUUCCGAAGGUACUAGAGUCACCGAAAGAGACAUCCUAUUAUAUGCACGUUCACAAGGACAAUGGCGCCAUUGUUCUUCGCGUCUUCAAAGCAGCUACAAGAAGAAACCAAGAUGGAGGGGAGCCCAAAGCAUCUGAGAGAAUUGAUAAAUGAAAGAAACAUGCUUAAAACAUGACCGUUUUAAAGGUGAAUGCUGACCAGUGAGAUGCCAGCCUGCGUGUGAAGAUCCUACAGCAGAAGUGCAGGGCCAGUGACACAAGAACUUGCGAGAGAUGCCAGUCCGCCUGUGAAGAUCCUGCAGCAGGAGUGCAGAGCCAGUGACACAAGACGUGCGAAUGAAAACUAGAUGUGACCAUCCAGAAAAAGCAUAGACAAAAAAAUGCAGUCUUAGUACUGGGAUGUUUGAGAUGGGGUCUAUCUACAUGUCUCUAGCUGUCCCUAUCAGGACAGCAUCUGGUGUGGCCUGCAGAGUUGAUUCCUGUACUUUUUUUUUUUUGUGGGCUGUAUGUAAAUGGAUUGUUUUGACAAUCCAUUCGACAGUGUUCUCUUCUGUGAAGGUCAUAGGUGAGCUGAUUGACAGACACAGCUGUACAGACUGAAUGCAAUCCUGACUAUAAAGCUGCAGUUCAUCAUUAUGAGCUAUUUCCUUAUUCUGGCAGUGAUUGAAAUAAAAUGGGGAGUAUUGAAAUAAAAAACAUUCAAUU